UAUCAAAUUGCGUGGGGGAUGUGUAGUUUAGAGAGCGUUUGCACAUUGGGAAGAUGUCGGCGAGACAUCAGAAUAGGAAUGUUGAUGUCUGGCCAAUGUAUAAACGAUGUAGAACUCUGAACGCACCUGCAAGACAUCUUGGCCAUGAGCAAACGCUGUUCAAAUGGCAUCUUUUUCCUUUAUCCUGUAUACAUCGCGCCUACGUUGGGCAGACACAUGUGUGCAAUCAGAAAACCUAUUGCUCACUAUAUGUCUGCUGCAGAGAAACGAGAGAGGGCGUGAGAACAUUUGUUUGGAUCAGUCAUGGAAAUAAAAAGUGCUGAACAGAUGUUGCCUCACGAUUACAAAAGAAGCUGGAGAACAAGCUAUAGGAUGAACAAUACCAGAGACUGUGUGCAGGAACAGCAGCCUAGCACUAGCUAAUUCUACCUAACAAUGUAUUGCAUUUUAUAUCAACCCGAUACUCAGGAGUCAAAGUGUCGAUAUAAUAUAGCUUGUGCAACUGUCACUACAACUGUCACUACAUGCCUGCAUGUGUGAGUGCCUGCGUGAGUGCAUGCGCGUGCGCGAGUGCACGUGUAUGUGGUUUCAUGCAUCUGUGUGUGCAUCUGGAGGAGCAAUACGAUUACUCCCAUAUGUUUUCAUUGCUUACUGACGCCUUGGGGCAGCCGUCCCAGACACAUAGCGCAGUUAACAAAGUGCCAGAGCCUAACCUAAAGGCAGAGGCAGAGGAACAGGGGCACAGAGAGAUGGAGGAAGAAAGAGAGGCAUUGUGUCAAACCCAGUCCAGGUGCAAACAGUGUUUCCCACAUAAUUCCCAACGACAGUUGAAUGAAAGUCAUGUCCUGCGUAUAAUCGACCCACGAGGUUGACACUAAAGCAGUAUGCUGAGCUGUCACUCCAUCAAACGCUGACACCUUGUCACUCAAACUAAACCGCUCAAUCAUGCCGACUUUCAAACAAAGAUGGCGGAGAAACAUCAAACGAGGUGUCAAGUCGUGCAGCUUGAAGAGAAGAGAUGAGGUGGGCAAAACCAUGACCGUACGCGAAUGAGACGGCUCAGCAUUUCUUUAGCAGCAGGCCGCUCCCUCACGUGUAAUGUUUGACAACAUUGUUAUAAAGACUGAGUUUCAACAGCGUGAGGGAGUGUGCCCACACAGACACACAGAAGAUUUUACUGAAGAAAAAAGCCAUUUGAUGAAUAAGCCGAUGUGAUUCUGCACUUGCUGUAAUCCAAUCAAACAGAACACUAGCUUCUGCACAGCUAUGCCUCUCUGACAGGAAACGGACAGUAAAUAAUUGGGAAGCCUCCCAGCGGACCCUCCAAAGUCCAUAUACGGCCAGAGGAAUCUCUGCAAAGCAUCUAUUAUCAUCCCCUUUGGUCGGUCAUGGCUAGAAAGGUCUGGUGUGGGGGCUGUGCUUUGGCAAAGUGGGUGGGGUUAUAUCCUUCCUGUUUGGCCCUGUCCAGGGGUGUCCUAGCAUGGGGCCACAGUGUCUCCUGACCCCUCCUGUCUCAGCCUCCAGUAUUUAUGCUGCAGUAGUUUCGGUGUGUCGGGGGGCUAGGGUCAGUUUGUUAUAUCUGGAGUACUUCUCCUGUCCUAUUCGGUGUCCUGUGUGAAUCUAAGUGUGCGUUCUCUAAUUCUCUCCUUCUCUUUUUCUUUCUCUCUCUCGGAGGACCUGAGCCCUAGGACCAUGCCCCAGGACUACCUGACAUGAUGACUCCUUGCUGUCCCCAGUCCACCUGGCCGUGCUGCUGCUCCAGUUUCAACUGUUCUGCCUUAUUAUUAUUCGACCAUGCUGGUCAUUUAUGAACAUUUUAACAUCUUGGCCAUGUUCUGUUAUAAUCUCCACCCGGCACAGCCAGAAGAGGACUGGCCACCACACAUAGCCUGGUUCCUCUCUAGGUUUCUUCCUAGGUUUUGGCCUUUCUAGGGAGUUUUUCCUAGCCACCGUGCUUCUACACCUGCAUUGCUUGCUGUUUGGGGUUUUAGGCUGGGUUUCUGUACAGCACUUUGAGAUAUCAUCUGAUGUACGAAGGGCUAUAUAAAUACAUUUGAUUUGAUUUGAUUUGUCUAGAAGGAUCUAACCAUGACCGGCCAGGAGGUAUUCCAGCAUUUGUCAAAUUAGAGUCCAAAGGUGAUUUUUUUUGGUGCAUUUUAGCUAACCCUAACCCUUUUCCUAACCUUAACCUAAUUAUCCUAAGGUGCUGCAUAAGUUCUCCUGACCUGCUACGAAAAGUCAAAUCUGACGUUAAUUUGACAAAAGCUGGAUCCCGUCUAGCCAUGAUCCUCCUGGCCCUGAAGUGACCUCUCACCUGAGUGCUGAUCUAUCCCAGGCUGCUUGCCACCGGCCCUAAAAAUGCUGAAAUGUCAAGAAUACAGAAACGCAUAGAGGCCGGGAAAAGACCAGGAAUAACCCAGCGUCUUUCCCUUAGCAUGGUUCCGACACCUCUCAGAGUUAAGUCAGACGGAAAAAAGGACUCUCUCUCUCCCACUCAUACUUUACCCAUCUCUCUCUCCCGCUCUCUCUCUCCAACUCUAACAUACUCUCCCUUCGCUCGCUCUAUUUUCUCACUCUCACACUCUCUGAGCUCGCUGCAUUUCUGCUGUAACGAUUUCACAGACAUACUGUACAGAAGAUUUCCAUUACUGAGAUUUUCCCUCUAAAUUUCUGCUCUGGAAAACUGCCAGCUGAAGCUCUUUGAAAGGGAAGAUUUUGGCAGCUACUCAAUAAAGGAAAAUAUCAUUAGAAUGUGACACAUUUUACACAGCAGACAGGCUCAAUUGUUCAUGACUAAUUUAGCAUUCACAUAGCAUUUGUGCCUGGUUGACCUCUGCUUCAGUGUGUGUGUGUGUGUGUGUGUGUGUGUGUGUGUGUGUGUGUGUGUGUGUGUGUGUGUGUGUGUGUGUGUGUGUGUGUGUGUGUGUGUGUGUGUGUGUGUGUGUGUGUGUGUGUGUGUGUGUGUGUGUUUCACAGGGGCCACAGCAGGACAAUUCCCGCAGAGGGUGAGGGGUGAUUUACAAGUAGACACAUGCAAUGAGGGUACUACUGGAAACUCACAGGCCCACCCCUCUGCCCCGUCUCAUCGACGGCUGACCGUCGUACAUGGUGAAACAUCUCCUGACCGUUUGACCUCGGGGCAGGGGAUUCCCGUACCUGGUUGACGGAGGGUUAUCGCCCAGAGGAGAGGUGCUCUGCUAGGGACAUCCUGGACCCAGGCCUCAUCUCUGAGUUCCGGCAGCCCGCUCAACCAGUGAUUGUUCCUGUUCUGCCCACCCUGAGCCUGCCUGCCGUCCUGUACCUUUGCCCCACUACUCUGGAUUAUCAACCCCUGACUGCCUCGACCUGUCGUUUGCCUGCCCCUGUUGCUGUAAUAAACAUUGUUAC